GUAAAUGUGUUGUCCCCUCAAAAUAACAACACAAAUUGUCUAAACCAGUGGAAACAAAAGUGAGUACACCCCCAUGUGAGAACGCCCACAUGGUGCCCAAUUAGCUGUUUUCUCUCCCCAGUGUCAUGUGAUGUGACUCAUUAUUAUUAAAAGCUCUCAGGUGUGUUAAAUUUGGUGUCAUCACCAUCGCUGUCUCAUACUGAUCACUGGAAGCUCAACAUGGCCCCUCAUGGCAAAAACCAUUGAGGAUCUGAAAAAAACGACAUGGCCUAGACCAGGGAUCUGCGACUCCAGUCCUCGAGAGCCGGUGUCCUGUGACUUUUAGAUGUCUACUUCAACACACGAGUCAAAUAUAUUAGCAGGAUUCUGGAGAACUUGAUUGGAGGUGAUUCAGGCCAGGGACGCAACUAAAAUGCUGCCGGACACCAGAACUGGAGUUGAAAACCCCUGGCCAAGGCUGUAAGAAGAUCGCCUCCACUCUGAAACUGAGCUGCAGCACACAGAACAGAACAGGCCUCGCUGUGGUCGACUAAAGAAGUUGAGUGGAUGUGCUCAGCGUCAUAUCCAGAGAUUGAGUUUUUAAAAUAGAUGCCAGCAUUACUGUAGCGUCAGAUGGUGUCAAGCGUGUGUGGCAGUAACCAGAAAAUGGGCUGCAGGGCGCUACGCCGACAUGGUUACGGCCCCAAACAUGCCUCAAAGACGACUACGUAUUUGCUAAAGAAACUGGCCAAGCAUGUCAACAGGCCUGAACCCUGGUGAACAUUUGGGGCGUCCUCAAAUAGAAGGUGGAGGAGCAAAACGUCCCCAACAUCCACCAGCUUCACAAUGUCAACAUGGAAGACGAUUCCUGUGAACCUCUAGUGAACUCCCUGUCCAAGAACGCAAAGGAAGUGAUGCAAAAUAAUGGUGGCAGCACAACAUACACACAUUUUGGGGACAAUUUGUACUCACUUUUGUUGGCACUGGUUUAGACAAUGAGUGCGGAGUUAUUUUUAUAGGAUAGCUAAUUUACGUUCAUACAAGCUGCACACAGAUUACUUCAAUUCAUAUUUAAGUGUUGUAUUUUCAGUGUUGUCCCAUAAAAUGGUAUAAUACAACAUGAGGGGGUGUUCUCACUUCUGUGAGAUAUUGUACAUUAUAUUAGGUGAUGAAAAGCCAAAAUCUGAAUUCUUCAUAAACCCUCCCAAAAAAGGCUUUUCAAAGCCAAAAUGUUGUCACACGAAAGACUGCUAUGCUGUCUUUAACUGAACAGUCGUAAGAGCUGUUCAGAGCACUGUAAAUUUCUGAUUGGAAAGUUGAGUGGAAGGAAAGUGUGGUGGAAGAAAAAACAGGUGCAGAAGCAAAAGGGGUAACUCAGGUUGUCAAAGCAAAGGGUUAGAGGCUGAUUGAGUCCAUGCCACACCACAUGGAUGCAGUGGUUUAUACAAAAGCAGCCACAACCGCCAUACAGUAAAUCUACUCCAAGUGUGACUUACUGACAUUUCUGUAAUAAAAUAAUUGAUCAUUCUAAUCUAACACUAUUUCUUUUAUUGAAUUUAUCAAAACUAAACGCCUGAACAAAAGAGUGUAGGUUUCAUUUUUUGAUUUGAAUUUAUGAAAUACACUUUUUUAAUUAUUUAACUAAGCACCUCUACCACGAAAGCAUCCACACACACACACACACACACACACUAAACACAGUCAAGAACCACAAUAGUCAAGAGUUCUUAGUAAAAAUAAUUCAUAUUUUCACAACAUAUAAAUAAUUAUUGGAUCACACAAUACAGAUAUUUUGAUAUGAAUAAAUACUUAACAAAUAAAACCAGGCUUUUUUUUUCAUACAAUACCCUAUUGUCGAAAGAAACUUCCAAACCAUUUGCAUGUUUUGUUACACCUUCUGCUCUUAAGCCGAUGCUUCCUCUACCGGUGGAAUGUCCCUAGACACGUCCUAAAUGCCUCAGCAGCUUAGACAAAUUAUGUGCAAUUUAUAUGAUCUCCUCCCAGGCAACUUAAAAAAAGAAUAAAAUAACUGAAAAAAAAGAUAAAAAUAACUGUCAGAACCCACCUCCAAAAACAUGUUAGGGUGGGUCCUGAUGAGCUGACCACUAGUUGGUCUUUAAUUGAUUAAGGUUAGUCUAGUGGUGAUUAAAGCACACAGAGAUCUACGCACAGGCCGUCAGCAUGUGUGGGCUGGCCCGACAGCUUCAGUUACAGUUGAAUGAAAAAGGCAGACCGAGAGCCUGGUUGUCAUUUCUACACUAAAGCCACAGAUGGACAUCUACAGAGGAGUGGGCGUUUGGCGGCGGGGGCCGAGGGGAAUGACUGCAGCGGCUGAUGUCACGUCAGAGUUUUGAUAAAAAGGUGUCGCGCUUCAGGUUAUCUGCAUUUCUCACUAUUCGAGCCAGAUAAGACAUUCAUGGAAAGAUUUGGGGACGUUCAUGUGAGGUUACACAGAAUUGAAGAUGUCUAUAUGUGGCACAGAAGUUAGUCUAGAAUAACCCAGGCUGGCCGUUUUAAGGAGGUAACAACAACUGUUUUGAUGGCACAUGUUUUUUGGAUUUUUUUUUUCUUUUUAAACCUUUUUGUCUUUUGGCAAAAAAAAAAAGAAAAAGAAAGAAAAAGAAGCAAACAGAUAUAUCAAAAUCCAUUAAAAUCUUCCAAAACCAACAAAAGGAAACAGAAAUGUCAGUUUUGCUUGAGUGUAUCAUCCAGAGGCACAGACCUGUGCAUUUUUCUGUUUGUGUUGUAAAAUGAGGCAUCGGGUUGGAAGGUCCUACAAUACGGACUAGGUUCCAUGCUCACAAAAGCAUUUUAAAAAAAUGGGAGAGCCGAUGUCCCACCCACCCCUCUUAUGGUCCAUAAAAUAUCAGAACUACUUAAAGGCAAAACUUAUCAAGGAUCAGCCCCGAUAAACGCGCCGUCGUGGAAAAACGGCACAGAAAAACACAUUCAGAUUAAGGAAACUCGCCGAAGCAGGCGAUGGGAUUGCUCUUGGAAGUUCGGGAACCACCGUCGUCGUCCCGACUCGUCCAGCGGGAGCGGAGAGAGCAAUGCAACUCUUCAGGGAUUCAUUUACCUACACGUCACCUCAGGCUCGGGUGUACAAUCUCACAGGAGCUGUGUGUGCAUGUGCAAAUGUGUGUAUGCGGUGGUUUGAGACGAGACCAGACCGAGGCGUAUUUGUACGCUCACACCUUCUAUCUUUUGUUGGAAACAAUCCCCUACUGACAGGACCGGCAAUACGACAUUCGUGUGCAUGAUGUGUGUAUGCGUGCGUGUGUGUGAAUGUUUCUAGGUGCUUAAAUUGUAAGUAAACAUGGAAACAAUGUCCAAGGCAACAGAUCUGUGUUGAAGGAGGAGAAAAACUAGAGGAAGGAAAGGAAAAAUAGUAAGAAGUUCUGUCUUUGCUGUGUUCCCUGCCUUCUGAUCGCUGACAACAGGAUGUCGGCUACAAUGGGAAAGGCUCGUGUUUCUGUACAUGUAGCACCAAAACUAGCAGGGACCUGCCCUGUCUGUCUCGCACCGUUUAAACACAUGGUUCGCUUUUACUUUCCGUUUGAAGCUAUUUAACUUACAGAAGUGACGGUAGUUCGUGAGGAUUUGCUUGAAAACGAAUAUUUACUUUUCCACUUGCUGAGCAAUGGACGUUCAUUAUCAAUUUGAGAAUUGUAGGCGAUUGAUCUUUAGGCAAAGAGGGCAUAAAUGAGAUAGGCAUGGGCUGGUUUCUGGAUAUCAAGAGUUAUAAACACAAAAGUAUUAAUUCCAUUCGUCCCAAACUCAAAAGGGACAUGGCGAAACAAAAGUAAAGAUCAUAAGUUCAUAAUAAGUAAGUGCUAAAAAUGAUUUUUCAGAAGAGACAUACAUUUUGAUCUUUUAGGUAAUAAGACAGGGAGUCUUAUAAGUCUGGAAAUGCAAACAUAAUUCCAUUCUUAGUUUUCCUCUUUUCAUACUUAUCCAGAUUUGAAAGCGUCACAUCGCUAUUAAAGAUAGCAUCAAUUUAGAUUUCAUAGUAAACAAAAUAUUUUAUCAGCUAUAAGAAUAAUUGCUGCUUAUACAUUUUAAAUAACAGAAAGUAGAUCUGUUCUAAAUGUUUGUGCCAUUUUGUGUGAAACUGCUGUACUUCAGCUCAGUUAUAUUGUCCAAUUCUCAUAGCGGCCCAUGCCUAAUGAGAGAUUUUUAGGAGGGGAAGCUAAGAUAAACAAAGUUGACCUCCAGACAGGAGGAGCAUUGCAUCGGCUCAGCUCGUCUCACUUCUGCUUCCUACUUCCAGAGACUUGUUUGCUGGGCUUUCCCAACUACUGCAUUUUUCACUUCAACAGAGCAAAAUGCUAGACAGACAGGCAGACGGAUACACAGGUGGAUUAAGACAGACAGACAGACAUGGUAAAAAUCCUUGGCUGUGGUCUAUAAAGCAAUGUCAGAUGCUUCUCGUUAAGCCAAUAUACAAUCAUUUUGUCCGGCACGGUUCUCUACGUACCUCUAAAUACACACUGUACACAAGGG